UACAUGCAAGUCGAACGAACUCUGGUAUUGAUUGGUGCUUGCAUCAUGAUUUACAUUUGAGUGAGUGGCGAACUGGUGAGUAACACGUGGGAAACCUGCCCAGAAGCGGGGGAUAACACCUGGAAACAGAUGCUAAUACCGCAUAACAACUUGGACCGCAUGGUCCGAGUUUGAAAGAUGGCUUCGGCUAUCACUUUUGGAUGGUCCCGCGGCGUAUUAGCUAGAUGGUGGGGUAACGGCUCACCAUGGCAAUGAUACGUAGCCGACCUGAGAGGGUAAUCGGCCACAUUGGGACUGAGACACGGCCCAAACUCCUACGGGAGGCAGCAGUAGGGAAUCUUCCACAAUGGACGAAAGUCUGAUGGAGCAACGCCGCGUGAGUGAAGAAGGGUUUCGGCUCGUAAAACUCUGUUGUUAAAGAAGAACAUAUCUGAGAGUAACUGUUCAGGUAUUGACGGUAUUUAACCAGAAAGCCACGGCUAACUACGUGCCAGCAGCCGCGGUAAUACGUAGGUGGCAAGCGUUGUCCGGAUUUAUUGGGCGUAAAGCGAGCGCAGGCGGUUUUUUAAGUCUGAUGUGAAAGCCUUCGGCUCAACCGAAGAAGUGCAUCGGAAACUGGGAAACUUGAGUGCAGAAGAGGACAGUGGAACUCCAUGUGUAGCGGUGAAAUGCGUAGAUAUAUGGAAGAACACCAGUGGCGAAGGCGGCUGUCUGGUCUGUAACUGACGCUGAGGCUCGAAAGUAUGGGUAGCAAACAGGAUUAGAUACCCUGGUAGUCCAUACCGUAAACGAUGAAUGCUAAGUGUUGGAGGGUUUCCGCCCUUCAGUGCUGCAGCUAACGCAUUAAGCAUUCCGCCUGGGGAGUACGGCCGCAAGGCUGAAACUCAAAGGAAUUGACGGGGGCCCGCACAAGCGGUGGAGCAUGUGGUUUAAUUCGAAGCUACGCGAAGAACCUUACCAGGUCUUGACAUACUAUGCAAAUCUAAGAGAUUAGACGUUCCCUUCGGGGACAUGGAUACAGGUGGUGCAUGGUUGUCGUCAGCUCGUGUCGUGAGAUGUUGGGUUAAGUCCCGCAACGAGCGCAACCCUUAUUAUCAGUUGCCAGCAUUAAGUUGGGCACUCUGGUGAGACUGCCGGUGACAAACCGGAGGAAGGUGGGGAUGACGUCAAAUCAUCAUGCCCCUUAUGACCUGGGCUACACACGUGCUACAAUGGAUGGUACAACGAGUUGCGAACUCGCGAGAGUAAGCUAAUCUCUUAAAGCCAUUCUCAGUUCGGAUUGUAGGCUGCAACUCGCCUACAUGAAGUCGGAAUCGCUAGUAAUCGCGGAUCAGCAUGCCGCGGUGAAUACGUUCCCGGGCCUUGUACACACCGCCCGUCACACCAUGAGAGUUUGUAACACCCAAAGUCGGUGGGGUAACCUUUUAGGAACCAGCCGCAUA
rnacentral:rRNA from 1 species